AACAUCUAACUGGUUUUCCAUCCACCAAUGCAUGGAAGGUAGUAAGAUAUGCAACGUAAGGUAACUUUAUUUCAUAAAUUAAGGUCAAACUUAAUUAACUAAGUUAACUA